rnacentral:lncRNA from 1 species
UGUAUCACAAACUCAUGAAAAAUUUCAUAGAUGUCUCAGAAGAAGCAGUGAAAAAUAUUGGUUCUGAGAAGCAAUCAUCAGCCGAAGCAGCACUGUGCAGACUCUCAGUGAAUUGCUGAAUGGUCUGCAUGCCUAAAGCCUACAGCAAAGGCAAGAAGCCCUCAAUAAAGCAAUAUGAAUGAUUGGACUUUUAACAAAGUAUCAAAGCCAGCAUAAUCUGAAAUGAAACACUGGCCAAGUAGAUCUCAGCAGAAAUUGCAGCAAACACAUAAUAUUGUAAUUCCUUUUCAAAAAGGAUUUACCAAGAGUGAUAGUGGAGCAGAACGGGCCAUUAUAGACUACUCAUCUUCUCCAGUACCUUCUCAUCAUACUAUACCAACAUGGACUUGUAGUUUAACCAAAUGGGUUAAACCCAAUGGGGUAUGAGAAAAAUAAAACAAAACAAAACUUCAGUAAUUUCAAUGUCAGUGCUUUUUUCCACUCUUGGUGUUUCUUUUCAUGAGGUGGAAGUUUCAUUAGUAUAAGCCUCUGUUUUUUCCUUCAACUCCUCACUCACACCUAACCUGAGAGGAA